rnacentral:rRNA from 1 species
AAGGGCACCACAAGAACGCGUGGAGCAUGUGGCUUAAUUUGACUCAACGCGGGGAAUCUUACCGGGUCCGGACACACUGAGGAUUGACAGACGGUUAUUGACUUAUACUCGCUUAAUGGCUUUAAGCUGUUAAACGUUUAACACCUUUACACAAAGAUGCUAGUCCUUUCAUGAUCGUUUGAUAGGUGGUGCAUGACCGUUCUUAGUUCGUGGAGUGAUCUGUCUGCCUAAUUGCGUUUCACUAAGGUCCCAUUCUUCAUACGUAUGAAUAGCGUCUUAACUCACUUUUACCGCUACCUAUUUGUAGUAAGCGCUCAUACUAUUGGGACCGGAAUGCAACGAGCGCGACUGCACCACCUAAUUGCCCCUUAUCUACCAUUAAUUACUUUAUUAACCGCCCUGUACGGGCACCGGGGCCUUACCUUUACUGAAACUAGCUGGACCGCUGCUUUCCUUUAAGCCAGAGGAAGGUUGCGACAAUAACAGGUCUGUGAUGCCCUCAGAUGUUCCGGGCCGCACACGUGCUACAAUGAUCAGCACAAAGAGUAUUACCUAUCUUCUUAUACCUAACCCAAUAUGUUAAACUUAUUGCGUAAGGGUAUUGUCUUAACGACUUAUCCGCUUUAGCGCUUUAAGAUUAUUGGGCGGUUAUGCCUGCCUCGAGAGAGUGUACAGGGCAGCAAGAGUAAUGAUUCCCUCGUUUUUACUACUAAUACCGCGCUUGGUAACAUAUUACACUCGAUUAAGUAGGGUCUUUGCUUUUAAUAGCAAUUGCUAUCCUCACCCUUAGGCUCUAAGGAUAUUACUAUCUCUAAGGUCUACAGGGAGGUGUAUAUGGCGCACUUACUUAUUCACGGUGGGGACAGACCAUUGUUAACUGUUGGUCUCGGUCU